UACAGAGGUCCCAAGCGUUGUUCGGAUUCACUGGGCGUAAAGGGUGCGUAGGCGGUCGGGUAAGUCUGACGUGAAAUCUUCAAGCUCAACUUGGAAACUGCGUCCGAUACUAUUCGGCUAGAGGAAUGGAGGGGAGACUGGAAUACUUGGUGUAGCAGUGAAAUGCGUAGAUAUCAAGUGGAACACCAGUGGCGAAGGCGAGUCUCUGGACAUUUCCUGGCGCUGAGGCACGAAAGCCAGGGGAGCAAACGGG
rnacentral:rRNA from 1 species